AUUGAACGCUGGCGGCAGGCUUAACACAUGCAAGUCGAGCGGAGAUGAGGUGCUUGCACCUUAUCUUAGCGGCGGACGGGUGAGUAAUGCUUAGGAAUCUGCCUAUUAGUGGGGGACAACAUUCCGAAAGGAAUGCUAAUACCGCAUACGCCCUACGGGGGGAAGCAGGGGAUCUUCGGACCUUGCGCUAAUAGAUGAGCCUAAGUCGGAUUAGCUAGUUGGUGGGGUAAAGGCCUACCAAGGCGACGAUCUGUAGCGGGUCUGAGAGGAUGGGCCCCCACACUGGGACUGAGACACGGCCCAGACUCCUACGGGAGGCAGCAGUGGGGAAUAUUGGACAAUGGGCGGAAGCCCGAUCCAGCCAUGCCGCGUGUGUGAAGAAGGCCUUUUGGUUGUAAGGCACUUUAAGCGAGGAGGAGGCUACCUGGAUUAAUACUCUAGGAUAGUGGACGUUACUCGCAGAAUAAGCACCGGCUAACUCUGUGCCAGCCGCCGCGGUAA
rnacentral:rRNA from 1 species